GCACCCAGCACACUGAGGUGAUGUCAGAGCAUAGGGAGCACUCAGCAUACCUAGGUGAUGUCAGAGCACAGGGAGCACCCAGCACACUGAGGUGAUGUCAGUGUAUGGGGAGCACUCAGCACACUGAAGUGAUGUCAGCACGGGGAGCACUCAGCACACUGAGGUGAUGUCAGAGCACAGGGAGCACUCAGCACACUGAGGUGAUGUCAGUGUACAGGGAGCACUCAGCACACUGAGGUGAUGUCAGAGCACAGGGAGCACUCCGCACACCUAGGUGAUGUCAGAGCACAGGGAGCACCCAGCACACUGAGGUGAUGUCAGUACACGGGGAGCACUCAGCACACUGAGGUGAUGUCAGUAUACAGGGAGCACUCAGCACACUGAGGUGAUGUCAGUGUACAGGGAGCACUCAGCACACUGAGGUGAUGUCAGAGCACAGGGAGCACUCCGCACACCUAGGUGAUGUCAGAGCACAGGGAGCACCCAGCACACUGAGGUGAUGUCAGAGCAUGGGGAGCACUCAGCACACUGAGGUGAUGUCAGUACAUGGGGAGCACUCAGCACACCUAGGUGAUGUCAGUACACAGGGAGCACUCAGCACACUGAGGUGAUGUCAGAGCACGGGGAGCACUCAGCACACUGAGGUGAUGUCAGUACACGGGGAGCACUCAGCACACUGAGGUGAUGUCAGAGCACAGGGAGCACCCAGCACACUGAGGUGAUGUCAGUACACGGGGAGCACUCAGCACACUGAAGUGAUGUCAGUGUACAGGGAGCACUCAGCACACUGAGGUGAUGUCAGAGCACAGGGAGCACUGAGCACACUGAGGUGAUGUCGGCGACACGUCAGAGAAGCAGGAAUACAGUGAGGAAUCUGAGGAAAGACGCACGGAGGAACUGUGACAGUGUGAACGCCACAGAAGUGCUGUGCGGGACGCAGAAUUGAAGGGGAAACGCAGAAAUGGCAGAGGUCGGAGAUAGGGGAGGAAGCGGAAAACAUGGCGGACAGGCACGGGAGACCCAGGCAGCACGUACGCUGGGCUGUUACGUGAUGUGUGUCCGUGUGUAUGAAACACGCGUGUUCCCUGUCCGUGCCCGCAGACUGCACUGCUCUGGGACGCAGGAGUCUGUGACAGUGAGAGCCACGUCCCCUGUGCUGUGUGGCAUCGGUGUGGAUUACUGCACAGGGGGACAAGUGUGCCACAUGGGAGAGAAACCUCGGCUCCCAGGCACAGAGACCACGUGCUGUGGGUGGGUGAAACCCAAGUGGGCUCCAGACUUGGCAGGCGAUGCCUUAAGCCAGGAGACGGGAGGGAACCCGGAUGGAGCAACCCAAAGAAGAAAACCCAAGUAGGUGUUCUGUCUGCGGCCACCUGACUUCCGGUGCAGGAGCCACGGAAGUCACCUGACACGCUGGGCCACAGGACCCGAUGUCCCGAACCCCUCCCCAAGGACCUUCUGGCAGCCACGGGAGGGAGAACCGCUGGUGUGAGGCUGGGGAGGCUCGUAGGACCUCAGGGUGCAUCCUGUGUGCGUGACCCUGCUUUCCCAGAAUUCCACGAGCGCUCCUGACCACACAUGGCUGUCAUCCUGUGGAUGGGAUUCCAUCUCCCUCUGCGUGGCUGUGGAGUUGGGACCCCCAGGGCCCCUGCCCCGGGAACCCACACUCGGGUACUGCCACGUCUCCGCCGCAGGGUGUGUAUCGCUGGGUCUGCUUCUGGUAGUGACUGGGAUUCUUCCUGUUUUAAAUGCCCAGA